rnacentral:rRNA from 1 species
AUUGAACGCUGGCGGAAUGCUUUACACAUGCAAGUCGAACGGCAGCACGGGGCAACCUGGUGGCGAGUGGCGAACGGGUGAGUAAUACAUCGGAACGUGCCCAAUCGUGGGGGAUAACGUAGCGAAAGUUACGCUAAUACCGCAUACGAUCUACGGAUGAAAGCGGGGGAUCGCAAGACCUCGCGCGAAUGGAGCGGCCGAUGUCAGAUUAGGUAGUUGGUGGGGUAAAGGCUCACCAAGCCAACGUUCUGUAGCUGGUCUGAGAGGACGACCAGCCACACUGGGACUGUGACACGGCCCAGACUCCUACGGGAGGCAGCAGUGGGGAAUUUUGGACAAUGGGCGCAAGCCUGAUCCAGCCAUUCCGCGUGCAGGAUGAAGGCCUUCGGGUUGUAAACUGCUUUUGUACGGAACGAAACGGUUCUCUCUAAUACAGGGGGCUAAUGACGGUACCGUAAGAAUAAGCACCGGCUAACUACGUGCCAGCAGCCGCGGUAAAAC